rnacentral:rRNA from 1 species
GACGAACGCUGGCGGCGUGCCUAAUACAUGCAAGUAGGACGCAGUUGCGAACGGGUGAGUAACGCGUAGGUAACUACCUAUUAGAGGGGGAUAACUAUUGGAAACGAUAGCUAAUACCGCAUACUAGUAGAUGGACCUGCGUUGUAUUAGCUAGUAGGGAGGGUAAUGGCCCACCUAGGCAACGAUACAUAGCCGACCUGAGCGGGGUAUCGGCCAACCGGGGACCGAGACACGGCUCAGACUCCUACGGGAGGCAGCAGUAGGGAAUCUUCGGCAAUGGGGGGAACCCUGACCGAGCAAAGCCGGGGGAGUGAAUAAGGUUUUCGGAUCGUAAAGCUCUGUUGUUCAGGAAGCGGUACUUAACCAGAAAGGGCCGGCUAACUACGUGCCAGCAGCCGCGGUAAUUC